rnacentral:rRNA from 1 species
UCCUGGCGACCAUAGCGGUUUGGAACCACCUGACUCCAUCUCGAACUCAGAAGUGAAACGAACAUGCGCCAAUGAUAGUGUGAGGCUUCCUC